rnacentral:lncRNA from 1 species
AAAUGAUGAGCUUUUUUGAACAAAACUACAUUCGUUAUGGACCUGGGAUUCCUGGAAGUGACAUCUGAUGAAGAGAAUCAAAGGCUACGCUGCCGCCCCGGCCAGAGGAAGAGCUGUCAUUCAUUGAAGAUGCAACUAAAGAGAGUCCAGCUACAGAAUAGUCUAAAUACCAGGACCACUGAGAGAGACCAGUUACAGAACAGUCUAAAUACCAGGACCACAGAAAGAGACCAGUUACAGAACAGCCUAAAUACCAGGACCACCGAGAGAGACCAGCUACAGAAUAGCCUAUAUUCCAGGACCACAGAGAGAGACCAGCUACAAAAUAGUCUCACCACAAGGACCAAAGACAGGGACCAGCAGCAAAAUAAUCUUAAAGUUAUGACUGCUGAAAGAGAUCAAUUAAAGAUUAGUCUUAACUCAAGGACUAAAGAGAGAGACCAGUUGCAGAAUAGUCUAAAUACCAG